AUGGUGUCGAAGCGAGCGUGCAUUGAUAGCCCACUGAUGAGAAUCCUUGACCGGCUGUGAGAUCGAUAUAACCGAAUUCACUAAUUGUAAUAACAAAAUCUUUUAUACCAAGAAUUAUAAUUUAUAAAAUAUUAAAUUUAUAAUCUUGUUACGAUAUUAGAUUAAAACAAAAAUAUAAACAAAAACGGUAUUUCACUAUAUUCUAUGACAGUAGUAAUAACAGCGGUUAGCGACCCUCAAUACAAAAUGGCGGAGCGGAGAUGACAUCAUCCGGCGCAUACUAAUCCGACCCCCUCCCGCUCCUUAUGCGCUCUACACCAUUCACAAAUAAAUAGAAGUAGUUCUAUUGCAUUCUCUCAUCCAUCUUAUGACCCCUUAUAGUACAUUUACCUAGUAAAACCACUACGUUCAUGGGCAAAUAUCGGCAUGUUUAUAAACACUAUAAUGACUCAUGCGAAUCCGGUCGCGCCGCCGCCGGCGCCGCCAUUUUACUUUACGCACCACGUGCUCAAGAGCAAUUCAUUUUUUAAACAAUUGUAAUAUUAACAAUUUAUAAAUGGACAGCAAUAAAGAUUAAUAGGAAGUGGU